UCACACUGCCCUGCCAGUGAGGAGGCUGGGGGUUCACCAGGAGCUGGGAGGGGACAGAACCAGGAGAGCUGACCCAAACUGGCCCAAGGGAUGUCCCAUACCAUGUGAUGUCAUGCAGAGCAAUUAUAUGGGGUCUUGGGGUGGCUGCCCAGGGUGGGAGGGAGACCCAUCUAUGUCAUGUAUGUCCCAUAUAUGUCAUGUAUUGUGACAUCUUCCUCUGGAAUUCUGCUUGUAGCCGUAUGGUGAUGGAAAAGCUGAUGAUGUGUUCUCUUAACCUCUGUUUCCUGUGUUCUGAUGGGUUCCUUAGGUAACAAUCUUCUCUGUUAUGCUGUGCUACCAUAGCUUUUUUGGAAGUCUUUGAAGAGCGACUUUGCAAAACGAGCUGUGGAGCUCCAAGUGGACUCAUCACCUGGAUCUUGUCCACUUGCUUCAGAAAACACCGAAGAGGUGUGAAUAGAUUGGCGAGCUAUGCCUUUUCUUACAAAAACUGCACUGAUUUUUAGCCAAGAUAAGAGUCUUAAUAUUUCAUCUGAUCUAUGUUGUACUGACCAGUCUUUCAGACAGGAAACAUGCAUGUGGAGCACAACAUAUUCUUGAAAGUGUACAUGGUCCUGCUGAAUACUGUUGCCUUGCUGUCCCAGAAGGUCCAACACCCUGACGGCUGAUACAGGAGGUGAUUGUGAUUGCGGUCUUGUGCGCUCAUCCCUCAGACCACUGGUUUAAUCUCGGGGUGAUUUACAUUGAACACUCACAGCAUGGUGCACCAGGAUGUGAGCGCACAACUUCAAUGAGCACAUCUGCAUGCCAGGUCACUGAUACAGCCCACUGCUGCUGACCUUACAAUCAAACAUCAAAUGCACAGGCCUGAGUUGGGUUUGCAGAACAUGAACUAGAAGAGCAAAAAAGCAGGAAAUAACUCUCUUUGCGUCUCAUCCCUAUUCCUUUGCUGUACACUGAAGUUAACAAUGACUUGUGAGAACUUUGGAAUCAGAUUUGCCUCAGAGGAUCUGGAGGAAUGCUGCUCAUGGUUUUUCUUCCGCAGAUGGUAUCCACCCACAGUGAAAGCUGAAAAUACAGCAAACAGCGUUUGCCUCAGAAGAAACAAGACAGAAAAACAUGGCCAUCCCAUUCCAUGUUCUGGUCAGCCUCUCCCUUUACAUACAGAGUGAUCAACCUACUAAAGCUAUAUGAACUUAACUUGCGGUGUCAAGAAAUUCCUGUCUUCAAGGGUGAGUAAGAUGUAAUUAACACGUUGAGUGAUGGGCAGCAUGCUAUGACAAUACUAUGAAGGUUUCUGGAUAACUUUUUGCCUUUUAUUCCUAGGAUCCCAUUUCCUUGACAUGUAUUCUAGCCCAGUUUUCCAAACCAUUUAUGCAUUUGGUUAUUAAGUUAUCAAGGUAAUGAGGUGAAAUGUGUGUAUAACGACUAAAAGGCAUGGCUACCUCCCAUACAGUUUAUACAAUCCUAUGAGCAUCAAGCCCUCCAUAAGCCCCAGCAAAUCUAACUAGCAACAACUGCUUCUUUGCACUUGAUUUAAAACCGUUGAAAAUGGAGAGAGGGAGGUAAGAAAACACUAGAUUUAAAAGCUGUACCCAAAGGAAUAAAUUAAAGGAUUUCAAAUGCCAAUUUUCAGGCAAAUUAUCGCAGAUGGGAAAUGGCCUGGCAGUCAAAUGAGGAUUCUUCAUAGGAAAAUGAUCUGGUUCCAUAAUUGGAAGAAAAAAUACUCCUAUCAGUUAAAAUAAGCCUCAGAAUUAAGCUUUAAGUUUCUGUGAGUUCCAGAAGGCCCAUGAAGGCAGGGAGGUAAGAGAGGGGAGGUUAAAGAGGGUUCUUCAACACCUUGAAUUUUCCUUGUGUGUGAAAACCCGGAGAUACCUGCAAGGACCCAACCUGCUGCAGCUAAUCCAACAGACAGGGGUUGGCAUUAUUACAAAAUGCAUUAAGAUUUGUCUGUGUCCUUCCCACAUAUGCUGCUGAGCAGCCACAAAGAAAAGCAGCAGCACUGCAGCUCCUUCAGGAAUUGUGGUGCUAUCUGGGCUCCACAAUCUGGCUGCUGAUGGAGGGAGAGUAGCAAGAGGAAACCUCGAUGUCCCAGUCAGGGGUGAGUCCUUCCAUGUGCAUACAGCAGAUUGCUGAAGGCUGCUCAAGGAGGGAAACCUUUCCUACCUGGGGCACUAGUUUUUACUCCAGUAAAAGCCAGGAGUGGGUUCCUGGGCACUGGAAGAAAUACAGCAAGAUGACUGGUUUGGUGGCAGAAGAGCGAGAGGUGCACACUCUCCAAAACAUUUGUAAUGCGCAUGCAAACAUAGGCUUUCAUCUUAUUCUAGAAUGUGCAAGACAGACGUAUGUAACAACACAAGAGCAGUAUCAAAGCCAUUAACCCUUAGAGCAGUGUAAAUCUGUAGCCAAGUAAAGGGAUUCAAUAUUACAUAGAGCUUUGCUGCAUGGUACUAGGAAUUUAUAAUAAUCAGGUCACCAAUUCCAGUUCAACUAUAAAAUCAAUGUCCAGUGAAAGUAAAUAGAAAUGAAUCUAAAACACGUUGUUGCAAUUAAUAGUGACAAAUCUUUUUAGUCUCUAGUGCAGACUGCUUCACUAGACUAUUUUUCCUGCAUGGGUGGAAAGCAAUUUGGUUAAUGAUCUUAAGCUAAUAAUUUGUAGCAGAUUCAACAGUAUGAUAUUCAUGAUACCUUUGAGGUGUCCUUCACGUUACAGAUGUGAUACUAAUUUAAUUCCACAAUAGUGAUCACCCACACUCAUUACUUACUCCAGAGAUUAAAACUUAAAAAAUAAUGGAUAUCUGCUGGAGUUGUAAAUCUAGUGAUAUUAAAUUUGAGUAGAAACUAGAAUACUGAUAAAUAUAUUUUAAAUCUUAAUGGUUCUUCAGCUGCACAGCAAAUAAGAUAUACUUUGACCUAUACCAUUUCAUACAUACAUGAGAGAAGUAGGGUGAUUUUUGUUGCCUCUUUUAUAAUGUUUUUCGAUGCGGUAGAUGUGUGUUUUGUCUGAGUGCAAAGCAGGGAAAUCUGGCUUAAAGUACAGCUGUUUACAGACUCUUUCUUUCUUUAUGCUAUUUUGGUUUGUCGUCUUAUUUCUUUGAAAGGAAGCACUGUUUAAUGAGCGGCUGAAGAGCAAACUAAGUUUAACUUCAUUUAUAGCAACAGGUUCAUUUCACAGAUCUUCAUGGAUAGCAUCUUCUAGGCAUGGGAACUACAAAUUUCCCCUUCGUUGUCUGGGGAAUAAACCACUUAAGUAAGCACAUUUUAUAUUAUUUUGAUUAAGAAAUGACCUUCUAGCAUUUUUAAUGACCAAGUGAGCCUUUAGAUUAUGAUUUGUUAUCCAGGCUAUAAGCAUUAUUACAUUUAUUGACAAUAGAAUUGAUUGCAGCACUUAUGUGUUAUAAUUUAAUAUUACAUCCAUUUGAUUUCAGUGUGUCAAUUCCGUGAAAACCUUUUGUAUGGUCUCAGUUACAAUUUUAGUCUCUCUCAAAGAGAUGAUUUUGUUUGUUUUUAAAGACAAGCAUAUGCACCUAAACUAAUCUGAUUUUGACAAGUAAGGAAGCUGGCCUGAAAAGUUAGCAAUUCAAUGUAAAGCAAUGCUCACUCCUAACUUCUCCAUUUUUAGAUCGCUUAUUUAAGAAUUACUUCCAUGUGCCACUGGAAUGCAGCCACUUCUGCAGUAAGACAGACCAGCCACUUACAGUGAUGCCAGGGACAUAACCAUUUCAGAACAGAAACUGAAGAAGUGUGUCUUGGCAAAAUGAACUGACAGGGGAACUGAAACGCUGUGCUGUGGAAGUAAUGUACUGGGAAAACACCACCCAUCUGUAAUCACUUAAUGGAAUUUGUACACUAAAUAGUCAGGAAGACAUCACAGGGGAUAAAGAGGACUGCUUAAAAUGCUACGUGCCACGGCAUACAGCGCCUGUCUGCCGCAGUAAGUGAUGGCCUCAAGUGCUUGGUCUCAUCACCUUUCCUCACACCUUGGUCCACGGUUUGGUUUCUAGAAGCUCCCAGCCCCUCACCAUGACUGCUGGCAGGAAACUUUGUUGGCUGCAGCUAUUCCCUGGGAAACCUUCACCUAGGCCCUACCCCCCCGCCUGUCCCAAGUCCCAUUCCCUCCUGGUGGGCCCUUUGAAUUUGACUGCCAAGUGCUGCAAGGGAGCCCUCCAAGGCAGUUCCUUUCCUGGCCUUGUCUGCAGGUUGGGAGACAUCUUUUAAAAGAAGCACAACUGAUCCUAGCAUUAUUUAUGCAAAAUUAGCCCAUAUCUUCACGUAAUCUCUCACAGAUCUAAGAGAUUUACAACCUGUGCUUAAAUUGCACUGUAUCAUGGGUUCUUACCUGCAAAAUGGCAUCAGUAAUGCUGCUUCUUUCUAGCACUUGCUCAUCACUGCUGUUCAUUGUGUAAGAGCUGGCUGCUAUAAUGGUUACGGGUUGUCUGGCACAUGCACUGAAAGCCCCGAUCCUGUGUUAAGUUCCCGUGCUGUCCCUAUGCCUGGGGAGAGCUGGCUGUCUUGGAACAGGAAGACCAAGGACAUGCCGGUGAGGAGCACAUCUUAAAGACGCAAUUGCAUAUUUAGGGACAGCCCUGAAGGACCAAGUCAGGCACCUCUGUUAGAAAUGGGGUGACAAUCCUCAGCUCUCUUCUGGAGGUGGGUAUUUGUCCCUGAUGCAAUGCAUUCAGAGGUCUCCUUUGAAAUACUACUGAAGAAGGAAAGAGUAGAUCUCCCUGAUGGCUACUUACUCAUCUAGAAAAGUCGUGCAGGAAGAAGUUCAAACUCAGCAGCGUUCCAAAAAGAUGGGCUUAGAUUCCUGACUUCAGACUGUCACAGUGACUGGCACUUAUGUUGAGAGCUCAGCAGAAACCUCCCAGGGAACAGCAUCAUCCUGGGCUGUACAAUGUUCUGCUCCUGCCCCCACAGCUACAUAAGUGUUCUUCCCUUACAAAGUCUUUCCUACCCCUGUUUCUUUUCAUCUUUCCCUCUUUUCCUGUGCUUCCUAUUCAUUUAUUUUCAUCUCCCAUUUUAACCUUCUUAGUCCUUCAAGUAUGCUGUAUGUAGCCUCUAAAGCAGUGGUUCCUAUACAGCAAAGCCUGCAAUUUCUUAAAUGCAACAGGCACUGUUCAUGAACGAGGCUGAGUUUUGAUAGAUCCAAGUGCCAUUAUUCAUGCUGGGAGUUCAGGGUGCCCACGACUGAGCCCACUAUAAACUUGUUAUAACAUCAUUAAUGUCUCAGACUCCUUGAGAAUGUUUCAGGAGCCAAGACUGGGCCUGGUGCCUGUGCAGAAAAAGAAAUGCCUUCAUCCCAUGCUUAGCUGUAGGCCGCCUGCUCCAGAUCGGUAAUACAGAAUUAGAAAGCAGCAGCACAGCAAGAGUCAGGAAAGGAACGGGACCCCAGCUCCUCAUGGCAGAACCGGCCAGCUCUUCCUCAAAACUUGGGACUGCGAGCAGUCCCACAGUGAGAGAGUCAGCUGGGGCAGGAGGAGGCAGUGUGCAUGCCUUGGGUGCAGGCUCUGACCCCUAGGGCUGGUGGUAGCCAUUUACAGCUUUACCACAGCUUUGUGAAUUUUAAUGCUUUUGUAAAUACUGGCCAUACAGAUAAUCCUUUGCAUUUUUCUUGCUUAAUUCCCACAGAUUAUAACCUUCUCACUUUGCUCGGCUCUGAGUGAACAACUCUGGCAGAAAAUCACAAGCACUGUUUUGGGGAUGAAGAGGAAAGGACCUUUAACAGUAAGAAACUGAACAAGUUACUGCGUGCUUUAGUGUUAAUGUGAGCCGGUCAAGUAUUUGGAUACUUAGUUUGAUCCACUGUAACUGAACUGUGCUCUGCAAGCAAAGCACAUGGGAUAUGACAAAAGACAGCAAACGCCAACCAAAGAUGCAGUCGCCAUCAGCUAAUAGGAUACAAGAAUUUCCUGUGCCACUGGCUCUGCCUCUGACAAGUCUGUGCUCUCGAGCCCUCUGUCCACAGAGGAUUGAGCCCGGCUUCAGGCUGUGGUGUAUAUGUUUUUGUAAAGUUAGAGAAUUUUACCAUGAGUUACUGCACAAUAAACCUACAUUUGUACUGAAGUGGGGACCCUGUCCAUUUUUUACAGCUGCAUAUUUAAUAUGUAAAAAAAUAGGAGUUCAUUAACAAUAAAUGUCUAGGAAGUCUUUGGCUUAAAUGCCCAUUUUCAAACAUUUUAUAUGAAAAUACUCAAGUCCUGCAGUGGGUCACUUAUUAAAAAUUUGAUUUGAAGAUCAGCCUACAAGUCAUAAACAGUCUCAUAAAGAUGUAACUAUUGUAAUAACUUUCCUUUUCCCAGUUGGAAAUAUAAGAUGAACUCCUCUGAAGCACCUAAUGUAUGACUAAUGUUUAUUUGUAUUACAAGAAGCUUUACAGCUGCAAUGUUCCAAGAAAGCUUAAAUUCAAUAAACGGCUAUUAUAAUUCAUAGAACGGUGGCAUUUCCUCCGUAAGAAAACAUAACCUAUCCAUUCUGAUUUUUCAGAAUCAGAAAAAAAAAAAAAAGGAAACUUUCAGGUAUAUUACCCCAAAGUGAGAUUUAAACAGCUCCUAACUCCUUGGCUAUAUAUAAAGUACAGCCAGACUCUGGUAUUCUAAGUUGAUGCGGCAAUACUCCACAAAAAUUAUUUUGAUGCAUAAUUUUUCCUUAUGUUACAAGUGAUGUUAUUUGGCCUGUUAUACCAUAUUACAACUCAUGCAGCAGAGGAUUUAAUGGGUGUGAUAGUCCCUCUGAGCAGAUCUGAAAUUGGUACAUAUAAACUACAUUAUUUUUCUACUGUAUGACUUCCCCCAAAUGUAUCCAC